UAGUUUGCUUUGUCCUAUUGACACCAAACUUGGUGUGUAGGUAGCUUAUAUCAAGAGGCAGCUUGUGAUUGCUACCCAGGUGUCUGUGAUCAAGGUCAAGGUCACUGUUACUAAAAAUAGAAAUUCAGUUUCCGCUCAAUAACUUGACUUUGCUUUGACCUAUUGACACCAAACUUGGUGUAUGGAUAGCUUAUAUCAAGAGGCAGCUUGGGAUUGCUACCCAGGUGUCUGUGAUCAAGGUCACUGUUACUAAAAAAAGAAAUUCAGUUUCCGCUCAAUAACGUGAGUUUGCUUUGGCCUAUUGACACCAAACUUGGUGUAUGGAUAGGUUAUAUCAAGAGGCAGCUUGGGAUUGCUACCCAGGUGUCUGUGAUCUAGGUCAAGGUCACUGUUACUAAAAAUAGAAAUUCAGUUUUUGCUCAAUAACUUGAGUUUGCUUUGGCCUAUUGACACCAAACUUGGUGUAUGGAUAGCUUAUAUCAAGAGGCAGCUUGGGAUUGCUACCCAGGUGUCUGUGAUCAAGGUCAAGGUCACU